GCCCGCAUAGCUCAGUCGGUAGAGCAUCAGACUUUUAAUCUGAGGGUCGUGGGUUUCAAGUCCCCCUGCGGGCA